rnacentral:rRNA from 1 species
GGAGGAAUAUUCGUCAAUGGGGGAAACCCUGAACGAGCAACGCCGCGUGGAGGAAGAAGGUCUUUGGAUUGUAAACUCCUUUUCAGAGGGAAGAGGAAGGACGGUACCUCUGGAAUAAGUCACGGCUAACUACGUGCCAGCAGCCGCGGUAAUACGUAGGUGGCGAGCGUUAUCCGGAAUUACUGGGCGUAAAGCGCACGCAGGUGGUUAUUCAAGUCCGAUGUGAAAGCUCUUGGCUUAACUGGGAGAG